UUGAAGUUGGAAUUUUCAGAUUUGUGAUGAACUGGGAGAUUUAAUACUCCAUUAUUAAACUCUUGUUUAUUUUCAAUAUUUAUGCAACUUGAUCUUUCUAUAAAUUAUUGCUUUGCUUUUAGAAUCAAUUAAGGCCUGUUGCUUUUAAUUGCAUGAGUAAUAAAUUGUUUGAAUGAUUUAGGUCCGUAAUUGCGUAGAUUGUUU
rnacentral:lncRNA from 1 species